UUCUUUUAUCAUGUACCAUUCAUAUUUAAAUUCAAAAAACAGUAGCAGUAUCUCCAGGAAGAAUAAGCUUUAUUCUACAGAAAAAGAACUAAAUGUUAAAAUGGGGCUUUUCGGAUAUCACCAAAAGCAUUCUGCAGCUCCAUGGAAAGAAACAUAGCAGGAGGGGAGAAAAAAAUAUAGAGGGAGUUCAGUACAGCAUGUGAAUAAGGAAAGGUCAUGCCUGUUGAUAUUCAGAUUGGACCUAAUGCAGAACAAACUCUUCUGGAGAAAAAUCACCUCCUCUCCUGUUAGCUGUGCCUUACUUCCUGAUGCAGAAAAGGAUUUGGAGACGGGGCACAGAACUGAAGUUUUCAUUGGUUAAAAAUCUUCCAUUACACAAGUUAGCAAGCUGGACAAUUUGGAUAAAGGUGCCAGCUGUCUCAGAGCCUUCUGUGUGCCAAGAUCUUGCAUGUAAGCAUGGAAAGAGACCUUAUGCCCAGACAGGAGAAAAUGGUGGGAUCUACAUGCUACAGAGAAAUACUUCAAAGAGCCUUGCAUCAUCAAGCUUCUUGCUUUGUCUACAUUGAAAUAAACCAGCUUCACACCACCCUCUUUUCACUGGGAAGAAAGCUUGGUUAAUCAAGAACUAAAUAUUCAGUCCUAACAUCUUUAUUUCUAAAUUUUUCUUACUAAUAUUCUCCUGUGAGUUCUGUAAUCAUAUUCUGAUGGGUAUUUAUGCAUUGCUCUUAAGCAAAAAACAGGGAAUAUGACCACCUACUUAUUCUUUCUGGUGGUAAUUCUACCUGAUGCUUUCAUUUCCCAUGGGGGACCAUUUCCAAAUUUUGUAUGCUCUUGAGAGAAAAAAUAGACUGAGCUGAUUGUAUCAAUUCUUCUAAUGUGUUUUGUGUCUGUUCUGGGGAUUCAUUCUUAUAAUUUUGUUUUGUUUUCUUUUAUUAUUGUAAUGAAAACUGGUAAGAUAUUCUUCAAUUACUUCCUCUCCUGUUUGAAGAUUCUGGCCUAAUUUAUGAAGGAAAUUUUUUUGUUUCUUUUUUUUUUUCCCCUUAGCUUGGCUGUUUCAUACUUUGGCUUUGCAUUCUGUUCAAAUGACAACCCAUCGUCAUCAUCAUCAUCAUUUUUCUGAUUACUUGCUGAAAUGAACAACAUGAAAAUUGUGC
ensembl:lncRNA